rnacentral:rRNA from 1 species
AACGAACGCUGGCGGCAUGCCUAACACAUGCAAGUCGAACGAGAUCUUCGGGUCUAGUGGCGCACUGUUGCGUAACGCGUGGGAAUCUGCCCUUUGGCUCGGAAUAACAGAUGGAAACGAAUGCUAAUACCGGACGAUUACGAAAGACCAGAGAUUUAUCGCAAGAGGAUAGGCCCGCGUAGGAUUAGCUAGUUGGUGUGGUAAAGGCGCACCAAAGCGACGAUCCUUAGCUGGUCUGAGAGGAUGAUCAGCCACACUGGGACUGAGACACGGCCCAGACUCCUACGGGAGGCAGCAGUGGGGAAUAUUGGACAACGGGCGAAAGCCUGAUCCGGCAAUGCCGCGUGAGUGAUGAAGGCCUUAGGGUUGUAAAGCUCUUUUACCCGGGAUGAUAAUGACAGUACCGGGAGAAUAAGCUCCGGCUAACUCCGUGCCAGCCGCCGCGGUAA